rnacentral:misc_RNA from 1 species
CAAGGAAGACUAGCAGUUGUGACAAUGGCUACAUGCCUCUUCCCAUCUGAUGGGUUAUGCUUUGAUAAGUCCGUCCAAAAGCCACCCUCAUAACAAUGCCCUGUACUUUUAAGGACACUUGCUAUCCUUAAAUCCAGUUCAUCAUCAACAUUAUCAUCAAAGAAAGUGGAUUCUCCGGUAGAAAGUGAGCACAGUAAAAGCUGAUUCUUGCGUUUACUGCACAAACUUUCAACUAUCUUGUCACAUAU